GGACUCGUAGCUCAGUUGGUUAGAGCGUUCGGUUUACAUCCGAAAGGUCAGAGGUUCGAGCCCUCUCGGGUCCA
rnacentral:tRNA from 3 species